AUGGCCUGCCGCCUCGCCCUCUCCAAGAUUGACUCCAGUAGCCAUGAUCGAUCUUUGUGUCUGCUUGUGUCACAGGCUGCAAGGCAUCUUGCCAAGGAUAGAUGGGCACACGUGAUCCACACUUCUUCUUCCCGGGAACCUGCUGCAGCCGCAACUAUUAGCACAGGUAGCGUCCUUAGCGCAAACCUACAAGCGAGAUGCCAGUCGAGCUCUGUCCGUCACAACGCGCGGGGCCUGCACUCUGGCGCUGCUUCUAGCACUAAUCCAGAGAGAGUUGUGCAGGCCUUCGAAAGCCAGAACUCCACUCCGGCUCUCUCUGAGUACAUCAAGGCCCUUGUCAGUCUCCAAACCCAAGCUCGAGCAGAGGAAGGCCAGUUCAGCAAGGAGCUUUGGCGUACCUUUCGGGUCAUCACAGUCACUGGCCUUGUAAUCUAUGCCGGCAUGACUAGGCUUGACAGGUUGAACGAGCAAGGCCAUGAUGGUUUGGAAGAAGAUGAAGAUCGUGACCCCGAUGAUCUUCAAGAAGAAGAUUGCGACCAUGAUGAUCUGGAGGAAGAUGAAGAUGAUGAAGAUUAUGACAGCGAUGAUUCAGAAGAGGAAGAAGAGCAUGACUGUGAUGAUUCAAAAUGUAGUUUUGACGGUGUGAAUGAAGUGGCCCCAAAUCCGGGCACAAAAUUCAGUGAUGUCAAGGGGGUUGACGAAGCCAAAGCUGAGCUUGAGGACAUUGUUCACUAUCUACGAGAUCCCAAGCGUUUCACGCGCCUUGGUGGCAAGCUUCCAAAGGGUGUUCUGCUUGUGGGCCCACCUGGCACAGGGAAGACAAUGUUGGCAAGGGCUGUGGCUGGGGAAGCCUGCGUCCCAUUCUUUGCGUGCAGUGGCAGUGAUUUCGAGGAGAUGUAUGUAGGUGUUGGGGCUAAGAGAGUGAGGGAGCUCUUCGGUGAAGCAAAGAAGCAAUCUCCUUGCAUAAUAUUUAUCGACGAGAUUGAUGCCAUUGGAGGCCGCAGAAACCCGGAAGAUCCAACUUGUUACAGGCAAACCGUGAACCAGCUGCUUUCUGAGAUGGAUGGCUUCAAGCAAAAUGAUGGGAUCAUUGUUAUCGCGGCAACCAACUUCCCCCAGUCACUUGAUAAAGCCCUCCUCAGGCCUGGGCGUCUGGACCGUCAAAUUCAUGUCCCAAUUCCAGAUGUCGAGGGCAGACGGCAAAUCCUCGAGGCUUAUAUGUCAAAAGUCCAAGCCAGCAAGGAUGUGGAUCCGAUGACCAUUGCAAGGGGGACGCCUGGAUUCUCUGGUGCAGACCUCUCAAACCUGGUGAAUGACGCUGCUCUCAAGGCAGCCAAGGAUGGGGCGGAAGCUGUUAUGAUGCAUCACAUUGAGUAUGCCAAGGACAGGAUCAUGAUGGGAAGUGAACGCAAGUCAGCAGUGAUACCUGAUAACUGCAGGAAGCUUACCGCGUACCGUGAGGGAGGGCAUGCCCUUGUUACCAUCCACACGGAUGGCGCUCGACCUAUCCACAAGGUCACCAUUGUUCCCAGGGGAGAUGCUCUUGGCAUGGUGACACACCUGCCAGAGGAAGAAGAUGCGUAUAAAGAAACGAGGAAGCAAAUGCUGGCGAGAUUGGAUGUCCUCAUGGGACGCCGGGUGGCCGAGGAGCUUGUAUUUGGAGAGAGCGAGGUGACCGCUGCCGCCUCCUCUGAUCUAAGCCAGGCGACGCAGCUGGCAAUAGACAUGGUCACCAGGUAUGGUAUGAGCGGGCAGGUCGGCCUUGUUUCCUACGAUGAUGAUGGUGGCAGCUGUGUGAAGAGGACGUCCAUGAGGGGGCUGCAGACAUCCCAUGUCGAUGAGGAAGUGAAGCAGCUAUUGGACAAGGCUUACAAGAAUGCGAAAACGAUUCUCACGACGCACAUCAAUGAGCUUCAUGUGCUAGCCGGCGCCCUCCUUGAGCAUGAAACUCUCACCGGGGACCAGAUCAACAAACUAGUAUAUAGGCAAGUAAACGGCCUUAACAAUUGUCAACAGAAUCAGGAAACGCCUCCUUCAGCCUAA
rnacentral:rRNA from 1 species